CCAGCUUGCUGGGUUGGAUGAGUGGCGAACGGGUGAGUAACACGUGAGUAACCUGCCCCCUUCUUUGGGAUAACGGUCGGAAACGGCUGCUAAUACCGGGUAUUCACUGUCCUUCGCAUGGGGGGUGGUGGAAAGGUUUUUUCUGGUGGGGGAUGGGCUCGCGGCCUAUCAGCUUGUUGGUGGGGUGAUGGCUUACCAAGGCUUUGACGGGUAACCGGCCUGAGAGGGUGACCGGUCACAUUGGGACUGAGAUACGGCCCAGACUCCUACGGGAGGCAGCAGUGGGGAAUAUUGCACAAUGGGCGAAAGCCUGAUGCAGCGACGCCGCGUGAGGGAUGACGGCCUUCGGGUUGUAAACCUCUUUCGCUCAUGGUCAAGCCGCAACAGUGGUUGUGGUGAGGGUAGUGGGUAAAGAAGCACCGGCUAACUACGUGCCAGCAGCCGCGGUAAUACGUAGGGUGCGAGCGUUGUCCGGAAUUAUUGGGCGUAAAGGGCUUGUAGGCGGUUUGUCGCGUCUGCCGUGAAAUCCUCUGGCUUAACUGGGGGCGUGCGGUGGGUACGGGCAGGCUUGAGUGCGGUAGGGGAGAC
rnacentral:rRNA from 1 species